UACGAAGGGGGCUAGCGUUGCUCGGAAUUACUGGGCGUAAAGCGCACGUAGGCGGCUCUUUAAGUCGGGGGUGAAAUCCUGGAGCUCAACUCCAGAACUGCCUUCGAUACUGAAGAGCUUGAGUCCGGGAGAGGUGAGUGGAACUGCGAGUGUAGAGGUGAAAUUCGUAGAUAUUCGCAAGAACACCAGUGGCGAAGGCGGCUCACUGGCCCGGUACUGACACUGAGGUGCGAAAGCGUGGGGAGCAAACAGG
rnacentral:rRNA from 1 species